GACGAACGCUGGCGGCGUGCCUAAUACAUGCAAGUAGAACGCUGAAGGAGGAGCUUGCUCUUUCCGGAUGAGUUGCGAACGGGUGAGUAACGCGUAGGUAACCUGCCUGGUAGCGGGGGAUAACUAUUGGAAACGAUAGCUAAUACCGCAUAACAGUAGAUAUCGCAUGAUAUUUGCUUGAAAGGUGCAAUUGCACCACUACCAGAUGGACCUGCGUUGUAUUAGCUAGUUGGUGAGGUAACGGCUCACCAAGGCAACGAUACAUAGCCGACCUGAGAGGGUGAUCGGCCACACUGGGACUGAGACACGGCCCAGACUCCUACGGGAGGCAGCAGUAGGGAAUCUUCGGCAAUGGACGGAAGUCUGACCGAGCAACGCCGCGUGAGUGAAGAAGGUUUUCGGAUCGUAAAGCUCUGUUGUAAGAGAAGAACGAGUGUGAGAGUGGAAAGUUCACACUGU
rnacentral:rRNA from 1 species